UCUCCGUAGGUGAACCUGCGGAGGGAUCAUUACAGAGUUCUUGACCUCCGGGUAGAUCUCCAACUAAUUGCUUUAACUCCUCUCGUUGCUUUGGCGGGCCGCUGGGCCCUGCCCGGCCGCCGGCCCCGGCUGGCGCGUGCCCGCCACAGACCCCACAAACUGUGAAUGGUAAUGACGUCCGAGAAACUAUCCAAUCGUUAAAACUUUGAACAACGGAUCAGCUGGUUGUGGCAUCGAUGAACAACACUGCAGACCGGUACAGCAAACGUCUGAACUGCC
rnacentral:misc_RNA from 1 species